rnacentral:rRNA from 1 species
GAUGAACGCUGGCGGCGUGCUUAACACAUGCAAGUCGAACGAAGCACUUUAUUUGAUUUCCUUCGGGACUGAUUAUUUUGUGACUGAGUGGCGGACGGGUGAGUAACGCGUGGGUAACCUGCCUUGUACAGGGGGAUAACAGUUGGAAACGGCUGCUAAUACCGCAUAAGCGCACAGCAUCGCAUGAUGCAGUGUGAAAAACUCCGGUGGUAUAAGAUGGACCCGCGUUGGAUUAGCUAGUUGGUGAGGUAACGGCCCACCAAGGCGACGAUCCAUAGCCGACCUGAGAGGGUGACCGACCACAUUGGGACUGAGACACGGCCCAAACUCCUACGGGAGGCAGCAGUGGGGAAUAUUGCACAAUGGGCGAAAGCCUGAUGCAGCGACGCCGCGUGAGCGAAGAAGUAUUUCGGUAUGUAAAGCUCUAUCAGCAGGGAAGAUAAUGACGGUACCUGACUAAGAAGCACCGGCUAAAUACGUG